AGGUCUGGGGUUCGAGGCGCCAGGCUCCGUCCGUCUCUCUCAAAGGGGCCAGAACCAGAUCCAGAACCGAACCAUCAGAGCUGAUCAGGAACACAGAACCGAUCAUCUGCAGCUGCCUGGACUGCAGACCAGAACAUUCUGAAGAACCCAACAGAACCCUUCCGGAUCAGAACCAACCCAUCCAUUCUGAGCUCAGAUUCAGCUGCCAUCAACCAAUCAGAACUCCCCAUGGACCUCCUCGCCUGUGAUGUCGUCAACCUGCUCAGACAGCAGUCUCUCAGGUGGAUCUCGUUCCACAGGGCUAAACUUCAGAGUUCUGUCAGAACCAUUGACCUCUGACUGGACCCACAUUAGUUCUGGUUCCUGUUGUGGCUCCUUGAGCAGGUCUCAGCAUGUUUCCGUCAGCACUCCCAGUUUACCUGACGUCUCCAUGGUAACGGCACUUCGCCCUGCUCAGGUGAGUGUAAUCAUCAGAGUGAGUCACUGUUUUCACUUGUUCUGCCGGCGAAACAAAGAGUCACUUCAGAGUCACGCCGGAGCCGGGUCCAGGUUCUGGUACUGAACAGAGCAGUACAGACAGGACAUGGGGAAGACGGCGUCAGGGAUGGAUGGUCAUCGUUGCCAUGGUGACAAUGAUAAACUACAGCCUGAUGCCUGCAAAGACCAAAACCUGAGGAGGUUUAAUUUCACUACUGUGGUUCAGCAAUAAAUACGAAUCUAUUUAAAGAAUA